AUGGAACCCAGCUUGGGACAGGGAUGGGAAGGAUUUUGACUUGUCCUUUUGGCAUCUCCCCAGCCUGCGGAGCCCAAGCGUCUUGGAGCAUCUUUGGGGUUGACACAGCAGAGGUUCCAGGCAUACACAACCACUUCAGCCAGGAGGCUGCCAUGCCCCACAUUCCUGAGGAUGAGGAGCCCCCUGGAGAGCCACAGGCAGUCCAAACCCAAGACUCUCCCUCUGCAGGACCAUUUCACAGUCCUCCCACAAUCAUCUUGACGGGGGAUGCCAGUUCACCUGAAGGAGAAACCGACAAAAACCUGCUCAAUAGAGCUCCCAGCCCCCACCGCAGGCUUUCCCACCGACAUCUGAAGGUCUCCACGGCUCCGCUGACUUCUGUGGACCCCACGGGACACGUCAUUGACCUGGUAAAUGACCAGCUGCCGGACAUCAGCAUCUCAGAGGAGGACAAGAAGAAAAACCUGGCGCUUCUGGAAGAAGCCAAGUCGGUGAGUGAGCGAUUCCUGGCCCGCCGCGGGAGGAAAUCAAGGAGCAGCCCCGGAGACUCCCCAUCAGCGGUUUCCCCAAACCUCAGCCCUGGAGCUUCUCCUGCGCCCUCCAGAAGCUGCUCGCUCACCAUCUCCACACCACCAGGUUUCGACACGUGCAGUGGUCCGCAGUCCCCUUUGCCGGGAGGACCACCACAGCAAAAGGGGCAUGAGGCCGACAUCUCCUCAUCUCACCUGGGAGAGCCUAUUGUCUCCAAAGGGCUAGCCGACCGGAAGCAGAAUGACCAGAGGAAAGUGUCUCAAGGCAGACUGGCUCCUCGCUCUCCCACACUGGAGAAAUCCAAAGAACUUAGAGUAGAGCAAAAGGAAAACUUUGAUCCUCUUCAGCAUCCGGAGGCCACGCCCAUGGCUCAGGCUUCAGGAGCAAGUAUCAGUGGGAAAAUGGCCCUGAACAGCCCCAAGUCUGGCCCUGCUGAGACAGAACUCGGGAGGCAGCUCCAGAAGACAGCCAGGGAAGGCGGCCCUCUGCCCCGAGGUGCAGUCCAAGGCUCAGGAGGAACUGUUUCCCCACAUCCGCAGGGACAAGGCUCUGCAGGAGAGCCUGUGGGGCUUAAGGCUGGUCCCAAAGCUGAGCUGCGGCCCCCUGUGUCCCGCCCCCCUUUGAUACGGGGAGUCUCUUGGGACAGCAGUCCUGAAGAACCUGGUCCCCUGCUGCAGAAGGUACUUGCCAAACUGCCUCUGUCAGAGGAAGAGAAGCGGUUUCCAGGCAAAGCCAAGUUAGCCAAGCCGCCUGGGCUCAAAGACUUCCAGAUACAAGUACAGCCGGUGCGCAUGCAGAAACUGACCAAGCUUCGGGAGGAACAUAUCAUGAUGAGAAACCAGAACCUGGUGGGGUUCAAGCUUCCUGAAUUGAGUGAGGCUGCGGAGCAGGACAAAGGGGUCUCUUCUGAACUCGCCCCAGCAGCUGAGGAAGAAGAGUCGAAGAGCGGUCUGGAUGUGAUGCCCAGCAUUUCUGACAUACUGCUACGCAAACUGAGGGUGCAUAAGACGCUCACUGGAAGUGCCCCUCCACUCACUGAGAAGGAAGUUGAGAACGUGUUUGUACAACUGUCCUUGGCCUUUAGAAAUGACAGCUACACCUUGGAGUCUAGAAUUAACCAGGCUGAAAGGGAACGCAACCUGACGGAAGAGAACACCGAGAAGGAGCUGGAGAACUUCAAAGCUUCCAUUACGUCCUCAUCCUCCAUCUGGUACCACUGUGAGCACCGAGAGACCUAUCAGAAGCUUCUGGAAGACAUAGCGGUCUUGCAUCGUCUGGCUGCCCGCCUCUCCAGCCGGGCCGAAGUGGUGGGGGCUGUGCGCCAGGAAAAGCGCAUGUCAAAGGCGACGGAAGUGAUGAUGCAGUAUGUGGAGAAUCUGAAGAGAACAUACGAGAAGGACCACGCCGAGCUCAUGGAAUUUAAGAAACUCGCAAAUCAGAAUUCAAGCCGCAGCUGUGGUCCCUCUGAAGAUGGGGUCCCACGCACGGCGCGAUCUAUGUCCCUCACGAUGGGCAAGAACAUGCCCCGCCGGAGGGUCAGUGUUGCCGUGGUUCCCAAGUUUAAUGCCCUGAACCUUCCUGGCCAAGCCCCCAGCUCAUCACCCAUCCCUUCCCUACCAGCUCUGUCUGAAACGCCCAACGGAAAAGGCAACAUAGCCGCCCCACCGGUGCUGCCUGCACUUUUGGAAAAUGGAAAGACAAAUGCAGAGGCCGACUGUGAAGCUUGUGCCCCCGCGUUGCUCCCAAGCUGCCUGGAGGACGUGAGCCAGGAGACCAAAGCCAGGGCAGAGGAAGAAGUCUACAGCAAAGGAUAUCAGGAAGGGGUAAAGAAGACGGAAGAACUUCAAGACCUGAAGGAGGAGGAAGAGCAGAAGACAGAGAGUCCCGAGGAACCAGCGGAGGUAGAAGAAACUGAGGAGGAAGAGAAGGAGCAGAGAAGCAGCAAACUUGAAGAACUGGUCCAUUUCCUACAAGUCAUGUAUCCCAAAUUGUGUCAACACUGGCAAGUGAUCUGGAUGAUGGCCGCGGUGAUGCUGGUCUUGAGUGUUGUGCUUGGGUUCUACAACUCCUAUAACUCAUGUACAGAGCAGACCGAGGGGCCCCCUGGGAGAUCCACCUGCUCCGCGGCCCAGCGGGACUCGUGGUGGAGCUCAGGACUCCAGCAAGAGCAGCCAGCGGAGCAGUAGGGCCUCAGACUCCUUAGCCAUACCCUCCUCUAGUGCAUUCACCCCACACCCUGCCCCCGUGGACAGUGUGCCAGACCCAGGUGUGCCCACGUGGCCACCCAUCCCAUCGGGGAACAAGGAGGCUUUCUCUUCCCCCUCGUCACCUCCUUGGAAGCUACUCACACACCAUAAGCUGAUGGUUUGAAGGGAUCAGCAAAACUUCUCUGGGAAAGCGUCUGGUGGACAAAAAGUGACCUUCACAAAGGACUCUGACACAAGGGAAGAGCCCUGUCCCUGACCCAGAGGGCUGGGAGAACUGAAGGCCCUUCAUUCAGGGGACAGUGAGAAGCCUGCUCUCUGUUUUCCUCCCUAUGUUUCAGAAUCAGGAAGAGUUGCAGUUAAUGGCCAGUACUGACCAUAACGAUCAGACCUAGGACUUGGAGUCACAGCGUGGAUAUCUUCCCACUUCAUUUGCCACGACCACUCUUUAGCCUUCUCUCUCUCCUUCAGAAUCACCAUUUCUUGUCAGAUCGUGGGAAAAGCUUCCUCAGAAAAGUACACAGGCUAAAAGUAGCCCCAUGCUCGAAAGGAAGCAGGAAGAUGUGAGUUAAUAUAUAACGUAUCUUUAUGCAUCCGGACUGUACACACAUGUUUGUGCACAGACACCCACUCUCUGGAAGUGUGCUCUGCUCAGUGGCAGCCAUGUUGUGCCAAGAAAUUGGCUUUCACUGGGUAUGGAACAGUAGUCACCAGGCAUCAAUACAGGGAGCCCUCCACACACUCUGAAGAUGUUUGAAAGCCCUAAGAAAUCACAUCUGCAUUGCACGUCCAGUACCAGUUUGGAGCUGUUCUUCUGCACGGUCUGUUCCCUGGUUGUGUAGUGCCUUUGAAAGUGAUCCUACAUAGCUAACCCACCCCUUGGGUAAGAAAAGGUGUGCCUUCCACUCUGAACUCUCACUCUGCCUUGCACCUCAGGGCUGGCGUUCUCAUGGUGUUUCCUGCCCAAAUGUGUCCUUUGGAAGACCCGCUCAGCAUCAAACCGAAGGAGCGCGCCUCACCUCCAGCACGGCGUCUCUCACACUGUUCAGCUGUUACCCUCAUUCAGCUCUCAUCAGCUAGAGAUAGGACUUCUGUGGUGGUUGCUUUUCAUUGUUUUUGUUGCUAACAUUCAUGUAGACCUUAUUGUGAAUCAAAACUGUCUCAGUGUUAUAUAGAUAGCAAUUCAUUUAGUCCUCAGGAAAAACAAAAUCUGAAAUGGGGGUUUCUCUUUCUCUGUUCAAAAAAGGAAACAGAAGCAUAAAUGAUACAAGAACACACGCACACAUACACACAAACAUACACACACAUAUACACACACUGAUACAACUCGUCGAGCAUAUAUAGCUAGUAAGUAAAUCAUUCGAACUAGAGUGGUCUGGCUCCAGGGCUGUACCCCUGACCCUUCUCCUAUGGUCUCUCAGGUAGGCGCCUUCCAGCCUGAUCCCACCCCUGCCCCAGCUGGCCCUUCUGCUUCAAACCUGCCAUGGUUCCCAAAUGAAAUUGCUUCUCCUUCUAUAGGUCAGCUCAUGAGCAUCUCUCCUGCCCUUGUCCUCUUCUCGCCAAUCUUGAGGACCAGUCACAAACACUACCCCUCCAUACAGGCCUCAGUGACUGCCUUCCACGUUCUCACCAUGCCCAGCAUCCUGGGGGCAUCCCACUUAGUGCUUAUGGUGAAAUUUCAACCCUUGACCUGUAUCUAUGGUCUAGCUUAUUUAUACAUCUGCCUCCCUGGACGUUGUCCCUCAAAUACUAUGCCUUACCGUCUCUUGGGUAGGUACCUAACAUGGCAAACACUUUGGAGGGAAUUAUUCAAUGUUGGUUGAAAGAACAAGAGAGCAUUGAAGGUGGAGAGCAACCUAGAACAUGAGGUUUCCCAAUACCAUAACCCUCAGCACCUUCCUGUCUCCAUGAGAAACCUGUCAUGAUUGAUUCCUAACCUCAGCUUGUUUUUAUCUUUCCCUGUUUACUCUGAGAGAACAAGAAUGGAACCAGACUACAGCAAUCCCUUUUCCCGAGUUCAAGUACAAGAUUCCAUGCAAUCAAUCACUCCUUUUAGACAGACAUGCCCGUCCUCUACCAACCCCGACUAGGCCUCCCUUUAAAAUGCUGGUUUUGAAGGGAUGUCCUUUACAGUGGAUGAAAAUGGCAGAGUGAGGAACCUGGAUGUGCCAUUAAAGGUAAUGGGAUUCAGAGUGAGGCAGUGGGAUUUUACAGGCAUAGGUAGAUUGUUUACCUGGUGUCUUCCAUAGGAACAAAUACAGCCAAAGGAGAUUUAGUUACUAAGCACUGUAUAGCCAAAGAAAGGGUGUAGACAGAACACAGAGAGAGCAGCUGUUAGGACUCUAGGGGUCAAUGUCUAGUCUCAGUCCACCCCCACACCAAAAGAAGGUCCAACUUGAGCGAGCCCUUCGUCUUUUGGGCCACAAAUUCCCAUCCCGUUCUAGGUGAGACAGAGUCAAGGGGAGCAUCUGCAAAUUGCCUCAGCAUCAGUGCUGGCCUCUGAAGCCUGCAAGAGCCUGGGGCCUAGACCAGCAACCACUCCAGCUGUGAGGACAGCUGAGGAAAAGAGCAUCUCCAAAGAGCAUAGCCAUACCUAGAACAGCGUGGCUGAAAACACCCUCGUUGGGCCACCUUUUCAAGAAAACGGGAUAACUUGAAGCAGGUACAGCUGCUGCCACACACGGCCAGUGACACGGAAGCCAGUCUUGUGUUUCCCGACAUCACAGCAAAAUGAAAUAAAACUUUCCAUUCAAGAUGCCUCUGAAACCGGACAUUUCUGCUUAGCCUCCAGCGUCUGGUUGCCAGCCUUCUACUGCAGAGGAAUGUGUUUGCGUCACCACUGAUGUCACUUCCUAAAGGACCUCCACUUUCUAGCCACCAUGAAGUCUGUCUCCUUUGUACAGCCUGGAAGAGGGAACAGCAAGGGGGACGCUGGACCUAUGUCACCGGCUGUCAGUCCUUCACGUUAAGCCCCGCACAGACUCCUGGGGGUUAUUCCGAGGCCCUGCAGGCCUACGUCUGCCAGCUGGAAGACAGAUGUUGCCCUAAGACCUGCCCUCAGCGACCAUGGAGGACCCUGGGGUGGCUGUC